GUAUUGGAAAUGUCCAGUUCUCACGUUUUACAACAGACGGCGAUUUUAGUGACAAUUGUCACUAUCGCACUUGUUUCCAGGUUAUAUGUCUCGUCGAACUGCAUUAUCUUACGCUAAAGUCAAGCUUCAUAAAACGAUUUCCAAAAUGUAAUAAAGCCAGAAGCCACAUUUUGGAGGAAAGCAUACCAAGUGUGUUUAUUGAUCUCUGCUUACUU